ACGGCCGGGGCUGAGCAAUGAGGGGGUAAGUAGCCAGCACAGAGAGGGCUGGGCGAGCAUGGUGACUCGCAGGGACCCUAAGCAGAUGAUGGUGCUUCCGUUCUUCCCUAUGUGGAGUUUCUGUCUCCCCUGCCCACGGAAGACCCGAGUCUCACUGCACUGGGGGAAGCCCAGGCCUGCCUUGCAUUCUCUGGCUGGAGUAAAAGAAGUCUUGUAUCAGCUAGAUGGCCAGAGGAACUGGCUCUAAACAGAAAGGGGACGGAAUGACCACUUACCCAGUGCCGUUCCAGGCCGUCACACUAACCUCUCUGUGUAAUCAAACACGACUCGUAACAACUCUAUGAGUUAACUGAUCACACGCUAUGAGCAAAGGAGAAACUGAGGCGUUGAGAAAUGAGGUCACUUCCCCAAGUCACAUGUCCUAACCGAAAGAGCUGGGACUGGGCCUGCGACGGCCUGGUGCAAGAGCCGUGCUCCUUCCCCGUACCACGUGUUCUCUGCACGUUUCAGAUCUGGAGAGGAAGUCUAAGCAACAACAUGGGGCUAUUUUAGCAGUUAAGUCACAAAAAGCAGUAAACAAUGUGGAAAGCCAUGUGGUCAUCAACAGACAUGUAAAAACUAAUUUUACUAAAAUUUACCAAUAACCAAUCCAUCUGAAUUGGUUACUUAAAUAAUUACAGAAGUUAAUGGAGCCCACACAGAGUUCUUAAUUUCUAUGCCAUUCAAUUUUUUCUAUGCCAAUUUUCUAUGCCAUUCAAUGUUUUUGUUACCUCUACUCUUCAGAAGUUUGGAAAGCAAUACUAGAAGAAAGUAUUGCAUAGAGAAUAAAGCCAAUAAAGGGAGGGUUUUAAAAAAAGUACUGACCAGUACUAUCAGACAGCUUUACUAGUUUAUAAUCACUCUAGAAAUCACUACUCUGAGAAAACACUGUCCCAGCUCUAAAUCUGGGUCAGGACAAAGGUUAAAUAAACAAGAACUGAUUUUACUAUGCCUGUGUUCUGAACAUGAGGCCACCUGAAUGUCUACUUUAAUUUAGGUAAUUAGAGUAUUAGUUCCUGAAAGAGAAUUCACUAAAUUCAACUGCGAUGAAUGGAUUUGAAAUGGUAAGUUUGCUUUAACCGGUUGUACGUGAAUAUUUUGUUGUCUGUGCUGUAUUGUAAUGAUAAUUGUUCUACUGGAUAGAUACCUUAGCCCAUACCACAAUUUGUGUGAGAAUAAGGCAGUAUUAUGAAAUGGGGAAUAUAGUUCAUCCUCCUUGGGAAUACAUAUGAAUAUAUAUAUAUAUAUAUAUAAAACCAGUUAACCUGGUUAAAGAAAAUACCUGCAACUAGUGGCCAACCUGUGUCUUUCUUAGGAAUACUAUCUUCCCUUUGACAGAAUAACUGGAUUCAGAAUUACUGAAGGUAUCUCUGAAAUUCUGAUUAGCGAACAUGAAAUUACAAGUCACUUUUCAAUGCCCUUGAACUUAAAUGAACAUAGAAUGUUGAAACAUAAUUUCAGUUUUUAUUUUUCGAGUCCUCCAGAGCUACUGUCCUGUCCGUCUGUGGCUCCUAUUGACCUCAGUCAAAUGGGAAAUCAAGUCCAGGCAGCAAAGGGAUCUGAGCCCACGCAGACUGUAUGUUUAGACUCUCUGCAGAAUGAAUGAGGAGGCUAAAGGAAAGCAUUUACUUGCCCUGAUAGGAAAAAGGCAGGAAAGGUGCAAGAUUUAUACUUCACGUACGUAAGAGACUGUAUCGAAGUUGAAUGAGUAGGAAUAGUUUUCCCAAGGCAUCAAGGCGAUGGCUACUUACAAGGUCCUGUGCGAUCUGGCCCCUGCGUCCUCCUUGGCCUUAUUUCACAUCGUCCCUUCCUUCCAGCACAUGGUCAUCUUUCAUACAGUUCAUUAUCUCGUACGUGCUGUGCCUCUGCCCAACAUGGCCAGGCAAGAUCUAAGACUUUACUCACAUAUUUGUCCCUCAGAGGGGCUUACUCUGCUCGUGAAUCUAAAUGGGGACCCCCUGUUCAUUACUGUUUCUUUUUGGCACAUGGAUUUCCCUUCACAGCACGUCUCCCAGUUUCUCAUUCCACUUACAUUAUUCCCGUGCAUGGACUGACCUAAUGUCUGUCUCUCCUGUUAGACUGGAAGCUUCAUGGAGGAAGGAAGCCUGUCUAUUUCCUCACCUGGAGUACACCCAGCAGAGUAGAUUAGAUGCUUUAUUUACUGAACAAAGAAGUAGGGCGGCCUCAGGCCCUUGAUGGCCAAGCGUGGUAGAAGGCCCCUCUCUUCAUUUCUGCAAAGAAGCAGGUCCCACUCUGGCUCAAUGACAGGAUACACCUGGGACCUUGAGGGCACAACACCGCUGUUGCAGCACUAGAUCUGUCAUGCUGGCUGGCGAUGCCGGCGAGGAUUCUCCGGAAGGCUCUUGGGCAGGGAACAGGCAGGAGCCAGUGAGCCCGCCCCGUGGUAACUGGCACUGACAAGGCGAUGGGAGGGCCCCUGGGACACACCCUCGGGGCACACCCAGUAACACCCCAGGGGAGUGUCUGUUAGCAUUGGCUGAAAACUAUUUCAUCUGCAGAUGCUUGAAUUCCAUGGAUAUUUCAGAUUAUGCCAAGAAGCUAGAGCUGUUAUAUUUAAUUACUGCUAAUUAACCAUACAAAGCCACUGUUCCGAGUUAUUUUAAGUACAGAGCUCUAUAUUUUUGACAAAAAAAAAUCCUGAAAAAAAUAUCAAAAGUUAAUUUCUCAUACCCAUGCCUUACCUAAUAAAAAUUUUCCUGAGCACUAAAAAAAAAACCACCAACUUUAAAAAAGAAAGCCUGAGAGCUCCAGUCAGCCUAGUGUGCCAGGGGCCAGGAAGUCCAUUAGUCAGAAUAGCCGAUGGCAUUUCUAUGCUUCCCAAGAGCAGCGCUUUCCCAGUCAUGCCCACUAACUACUCUCCCUUUCUAUUAGACGUUAGAUUUCCAGGGUACGCCAUGCCCAUCACUCAGUUCUACGGACACUACAAGAACUAGAAGCAAAACAGUGAGAAGGAUAUGGGAGGCAACUCAGCUCACAGGGAGGAAAGCAAGGCUCGUUAGCCUCUGACCCCACCUAGCACAGAGGGACAGGGAAGAAUUCUGGGCCCAGAUCCAUCCAUCCAAAGAAGAAAGGAGUCAGGAGCAUACUGAGUUUCUACAGACCUAGCUAAACAAUUACAAACAGAAGACAUGAAAACCACCAUCAUUUAAAGUCACCUGGAUUUACUUUUCAAAGCUGAAGAUACUGGAUGAAUCGUACACAGAGGGGAAGGCCAGGACCAGGCUCUGGGCAGGGAGCCCCGAUUUCAAAGACGAUGAUAAGCGACAAUAUCCUGGAAACUUCUUUUGACCUCCUUUUUCGUCCAUAAUACACUCAUUAAAACCAACUUGUCCUCUCCACCUUGCAGAAUUUACGCAAUGAUCAAAUGAAAUAUGCAAACAUGACUCUGAGGUGGGACGUUCCUCUGAGGCAUUUUUAUUGACACUAAGAUAAGGAAGAAAGGCACAUGCUUCCUCUUACUCCAACGUCCUACCCCAACAUCAGCCCCAAGGAGAAAGAAGGCAAAAUGAAAAAUUCUGGAAAAGUAAUUAAAGCAUAGAAAGAUAGAAGUUUUCUGGUUAUCUUUGUAUUUAAAACAUAUUCAUUAAGUUGUACAUGAACUAUGCCUUAUUUUCCAUCUUAAAAAAAAAACCAAGAAAUCACUGACUUUAGAUUCAGCUGAGCCUGGGGCAAUGAAAGUAGUACACUAGAUCUGAGUGUGGGCCUCAAGCAAGACAAUGUUUUAAAAAAAGGUAUGACCUGGUAUCUUUCCAUGAAUCUCUUACUCUCUUUGUUCCCUACCACUUGCCAUGAUCAACUCAAAUCAAAGACUAUUUGAUCCUCAGCCUCUUGCCCAAUAGGAAACAUUAGUAGGUGUUUUAAAAAGAUUUUUCAUUUUCAUUUUUAUCUACUAAGGAAUUUUUCAUUCUGGCGGCUUCAUGUAUGGCCCACACACCACAGCUCUCUUUAAAGAAAGCAUAUCUUACAGGGUAUCUUCAUCUAGCCAUUAACUUUUCUCCUUAUUUCUUCAGGUAAACUAAGACACAAAGGUGUGUGCUUAUUUUUUCUAAUGUGAAUGAGUAUCUACCUUUAUCAAGGAAUUGUUAACAAAAGUAAGUCUAAGAUGGAAUUUACAGCAGACACCUAAGUUGAACUGACCUUUUUACUCAACUCCCUCUCACACGGGAUCAGAAAACUUAGGUAAGACGUUAGCGGUCACGAGAUCUCAAACACCGUAUAGGAAAGUGUGAAAAGACAGAAUAUAUGAGGACACGUACAUCACUUUCCUUUAAAAUUGGAUAUCUAUCUUUGUAUACUUACAUUUAUGACAUAUUGUUUAUAUAUCAAUAAUACAUUUGAAACUGAUUCUUUAGUCAGAAUUCUCAUCUCCCACUAAAACCCCAGUUGCUCUUAUUUAAACAGAAUAAAUUCACUUUACAAUGGUGUCGUUAUGUAGAGUGUGUUAUGUAGAGGUUCUAGGAACACAAUACUCUUGGCCCCUAACUACAUCCGCCACAAACUCUCGCGCACUCCAGCAUUUAUCGUGUAAUGACCAGUUUCAGCUAAGUGGUUUUUUUUUUAAGUUAAAACAUACCAUUUAAAUAAUUUCAAGCAUCAGUUUUGAUUGGAAUAUUUCUGAAGUUUUAUCAUAAUACACAUUCCCUUAAUAUGUUAUUAUAAUAAUUAACAAUAUAAUUACUAUGUUGUAGUUAACAUUACUACAAUGUUAACUCAUCUUGAUUACUUAGGGUCAGCAUGAUGAAUACUCUAACAGACUACAUUAUAAAAUCUUCAUAAACUCAGAAUUUGCUGUGCAUGGAACUAUUUACCCUCCCCUUAGGUAGAACCAGGCUACAUUUUUUCUUAGAUGACAGGGUCUGCCUCUUAUAGCUUUCUGCCUCCCUUGCCUUGUCAGGAGGCUACCAGUCAUUUUCUUGCUCCUAGAAAUGAAACACACAUGCAGGCUAGUGUGAAGCAGGCUCCCCAUCUCCAUGCAGCUACUGUUUGAUUCUAAAAGGGGUAGAAAGAGCUUCCGUCUCAAAGUGAAGUGUCCCUGCGACAACCCAGCUUCAUGGUCUUGCAAAAAAUACUGAAUCACUUUAGAAAUCUGUUGAUUUUUGUCUAUUCAAUGAAAGAAAUGGCCUGAAUGAUCUUUUAAGUCUCAUCCAACCUUAAGACUUUAUGAUAAAUCUCGCUAAGGGCUGGGAAAACUAACAUCAAAGUUCAUUAGAACUAUAUCGAGGAAGGAAUAGAAAGCCUCUGAGAAAGGACCUCAGAGGAUCCUGUACAUUGGUGCAUGGAAUUUUAGUUUUGCUGUGUCACAGACAUUUGAGUCUUCUAGGUUCUUUGCUAUAUUUCCAACAAGUAAGGUUCUGCAUCACAUAAAUCAUGUCCAGAUAAAUUAGACAGAAUUACAUUAAGAGCUUUUUAAAAAAGAAAAUUAAAUAUGACUCUUAAAUACAAUUCUUUCAUAUAAAAGAGCAAGAAGAAAUUUUCAAAAACCCAGAGUAAAUUAUUCCUUCAUGAAAACUUGUUUCUAAAUGAUGUCCAUUUGAUAUAUCAAUAAAACACUUCAUACUAAAAAAUGAUUUACCUAUAACUACGUCAUGCCCAUCAACCAAGCCAGCAGAGAAGAGCUCCUGAGAAACACCAUCUGCCGUGUCUGUCCAAAUACGUAAUGAAUAUGUAUUAGUAACAAUAAAAUAAAAUAAUAAAAAGCAACAAA